rnacentral:rRNA from 1 species
GCUAACUCCGUGCCAGCAGCCGCGGUAAUACGGAGGGUCCGAGCGUUAUCCGGAUUUAUUGGGUUUAAAGGGUACGUAGGCGGAAUUUUAAGUCAGUAGUGAAAGCCCGUUGCUUAACGACGGAAUUGCUAUUGAUACUGGGAUUCUUGAAUAUAGUUGAAGUAGGCGGAAUACGGCAUGUAGCGGUGAAAUGCAUAGAUAUGCCGUGGAACACCGAUUGCGAAGGCAGCUUACUAAGCUAUGAUUGACGCUAAGGUACGAAAGCGUGGGUAGCGAACAGGAUUAGAUACCCUAGUAGUC